CGGGGUAGUUUAGAUUUUUCACCGCAAUGGCGCUGGCGGCUAUCCUGCCAAACUAAUAGCUCCCCUUCUUUCGGCGUGCAAACUUGUUGCAAUUUGAACUCGACAGUGAUCAAACAAAUGAAACACAAUAGGUUAACGGUACAAUUGUGCAACUUUCCCUUUCUGUUUUCAAAAUAAGUGAGUUCAUUUUCAUACGUUUUUGUCUCCAAAACACCACAUUUUUAUGGUCACGUCACCUCCCAACUCAAAGUUUACGUAGACACACAUACGUUUGGGAGGUCUGUUGAAUCUUAAUUGUUGUUAGUUGGAGAUCGUGCAGCAGCAAUCUCUUUUGGUCUCUCUCUCCACGAUUUUUCACUUCUUCCCAACGUGACUUUCUAGUUUUUCUUGAAAAAAAAAAAAGCGGAACAAUAGCGAGAGUAUAGUGAAUCUCACCCACUUUUUUUAACGUUGCAACUCGUCGACAAACCAACUUCAUGAACGACUUGUGGAAGAUGGAAAAACAAACAUGCUUGAUCAACAGUCUAGUGCAAUUGUCCUUUACUUUCCAGUGAUUUCCCAUUCGAUCUACAUUACGACACGAAUGUAAUCGGAACAUGAUCAAGCUCGUUGUAUCAGAGCCACGUUUUAAUUAGGCUUCUCGUAAAGCCUUUAACAUCCGACAGUCUAAUUUACGAAGAACUCGACACUGUGGGAUGCAAGAGAAAUCUACAAACGAACAAAAGAAAACAACAAACUGUUCAGCAACUAGAUAUGGCGUCCACGUUUUGAAUGGAUGCUCACCGUUUUCUCCAGGUAAAGUGUCCCGAAUGUCAGGCGGGGAGAACGACCCAUCGUGAAUGCAUCAAAGACAAUGAGCAGAUGGAUAGGAACGAAACACGAGCCUGGCUUCGUCGGCUCUCGGCUAUAAGAACCGUGAGCUCACGCCGGGCAGUACUCGCUGCUGUUCUUGGAGAUGAUGUCAAAUUAUAAUAAGCUGUUAGACCGCUGAGGGGCACACGCUAUAACUUGUCUAGUCUUCGUCACAUUGGUGGAUACGAAAUACGUUUUUUGCACGGAUGAACACAGUAGGUGUGGCUUUCGAU